UUUUAUUUGAGAGUUUGAUCCUGGCUCAGGAUGAACGCUGGCGGCGUGCCUAACACAUGCAAGUUGAGCGAUUUACUUCGGUAAAGAGCGGCGGACGGGUGAGUAACGCGUGGGUAACCUACCCUGUACACACGGAUAACAUACCGAAAGGUAUGCUAAUACGGGAUAAUAUAUUUGAGAGGCAUCUCUUAAAUAUCAAAGGUGAGCCAGUACAGGAUGGACCCGCGUCUGAUUAGCUAGUUGGUAAGGUAACGGCUUACCAAGGCGACGAUCAGUAGCCGACCUGAGAGGGUGAUCGGCCACAUUGGAACUGAGACA
rnacentral:rRNA from 1 species